rnacentral:lncRNA from 1 species
UCUUAAUAGCAGAAUCAUUCUAAGACUUCUCUGAUUCAUUUUAUAUUUUGCAGAUUACAGUUUUGGAGUCAUCAGUAGGAGAGAACCCAGCAAACUGACAGACUUGAAAUCAUGUCCUUUGAUUGUAAUUGACAGGGAAAGCAUUUAAGGGAAGACCAUGUUAAGGGGUGGAUUUUAUACUUUGAUCUGAAGAAGCUGGGAUUCCCAGAAGAGCUCAUCUCUUUGAGGAUGGAGACACAUUGUGGCAUUGGCAAUACUUUCAAACGUCUGUUUAAUCCAUUCUGUCAGCAGUCUCACGAGCUGAUGCCUCUGUUUGGGUUUGUGUUGAUUCUUUGGCCAAGCCUUAA